rnacentral:ncRNA from 1 species
GUCGAAGGAGCGGAGCUUAGAGCCUUUACUUUAUGUAAAGUGCACUCACUCUAAAGGCGUACCUUUUGCAUGAUGGGUCAGUAAGGAAAUGGGAACAACGGCUUAAGCCAUUAGGUGUCAGCGCUUUUCAGAGGUGGAAUCUUCUAGUUCUUCCUAUUUAACCAAAACUGAUCGAUCUAGCCAUUAGCAGGUUGAAGAGAGCUCUAACAGGCCUUGGAGGACCGAAGCCACGUAUGUGGCAAAAUACGAGGAUGACUUGUGGCUAGGGGUGAAAGGCCACCUUAGUUUACAAGAAGUUUUCUUACCAAAGAAAGUGGAC